CGCUGCUGUAUUUUUAGGACACGUUUCCUCCCUCCCACCUGCAGCCCAGAGCCGCCUUUCGGGUUUCUAACAAGUUGUUUCUCUCUGGCUGACAGCUCUUGGGGAGCCCAAGAGGGGCCUGGCAGGGAUGGGCUGCACAGGGGGGUCCCCCCAAGUGCUGAGAAGGUCGAGGCGAUGCUGCAGCUGCAGAUCAGGGCGGCAGCAGCAGGAGCAGCCGUGGGAAAACCUCAUUCCCUGGAUGGUCCCAGGCAAAGGGGCUGCAGCAAGGGAGGGCGAGCCCCAUGUUUGUGCCAGGCUGCAGAUGGACAACCAUGCCAGGCCUUGCCAUGCUGGUUGUGCCGUGCUGCUGCGCACGGGGCUGGCUGUGCCAUGCCUGUCCUGCUGUGCCUGUCCUGCUGUGCCAUGCUGAUCCUGCCGUGCUGGUCCUGCCGUGCCAGCCCUGCCGUGCCACGCCGCACCGCUCCGGCCCCUCGCAGUGAGGAAGUGAGGCCGGCGCGAAGGGGAAGUUGUUGGAAAGUCAGACCGGAAUGGCUGAUAGGGAAGGCAGAGCUGGGCUUGGUCACAGAUGGUUCCUGUUGGGGAAGGACACGGGCGCAGCUGCCCGGCCACCCCCACCCGCCGCAUUAUCACUGCCCGGCAGCUGUUCACCUUCCCCUCGCCAUGGGACGCGGCUCCGCUGCCACCGCGGCCCCGGCCGUCACAUGAGCGGCCCCGGCGGCCGGGCAGGCGCCGGGCGGGCAGGACACCCCGCGCUCCUCCGCAGCUCGGCAUCCCCGGCCCCGGCACAGCUCCUGCCCGCACGCGGGACAAGGCCGGCGGCACCAGCCUCAACGCGGCUCGUGGACUUGGGGCGCUGCCACCGUCCCCUCGGGACUCCUCGGAGUGGACAAGGGCUCCUCUCGGGCUGGGGCACCACGCAGGACCCGCCAAGAUAACGCGGAGCCCGCGGCCGCCGCCAUGCCCGACUCGCCGGCCGACGUCAAGACGCAGGCCCGCUCCACGCCGCCCGCCAUGCCCCCGCCGCCCGCCGCGCAGGGAGCCACGCGCCACCCCUCCUUCACGCCCAGCACCAGCUGGAGACGCUCCUCGCGCGCACGUUGCCAAGCCACGGCUGGAGCGUGCUCCUGUGGCGGUGCUGCCCGUGGUCAGAGAGCCCUGUGAGGUCCCUGGGGACGGGGACAUCCUGCCAGCAGAUCGAGACGCUGGCCCUCCGACGUUUCUGCCUCGCGGCCGUUUUCAUGGUUGCUUGAAAUGGUCGAUGGUCUGUCUUUUGAUGAACGGGAGCAGCCACUCGCCAACCGCCAUCAAUGGGGCUCCGUCCACCCCCAACGGGUUCAGCAACGGGCCGGCCACCUCCUCCAGCGCCUCCCUGUCCACCCACCAGCUCCCUCCAGCCUGUGGCGCCCGCCAGCUCUCCAAGCUCAAGCGCUUCCUCACCACCCUGCAGCAGUUUGGGAACGACAUCUCCCCCGAGAUCGGGGAGCGGGUGCGCACCCUCGUGCUGGGGCUCGUGAACUCCACCCUCACCAUUGAGGAGUUUCACGCCAAGCUCCAAGAGGCCACCAACUUCCCGCUGCGACCCUUCGUCAUCCCCUUCCUCAAGGCCAACCUGCCGCUGCUGCAGCGGGAGCUGCUGCACUGCGCCCGCAUGGCCAAGCAGACCCCGGCCCAGUACCUGGCGCAGCACGAGCAGCUGCUGCUGGACGCCAACGCCUCCUCUCCCAUCGACUCCUCCGAGCUGCUCCUGGAGGUGGGCGAGAGCGGCAAGAGGAGGACGCCAGACAGGACCAAAGAGAACGGUUUGGACCGAGACCCCCUGCACCCCGAGCACCUCAGCAAGCGGCCGUGCACCAUGAGCCCGGCGCAGCGCUACAGCCCCAGCAACGGGCUGAGCCACCCCCCGAACGGGCUGGGGCACCCCCCCGCCGGCCCCGCCCUGCCCCAGCACUACCGCCUGGAGGACAUGGCCAUGGCACACCACUACCGGGACACCUACCGGCACCCCGACCCCCGGGAGCUCCGCGAGCGCCAGCGGCCUGCCGCCGUGCACGGGACGCGGCAGGAGGAGGUGAUCGACCACCGGCUCACGGACCGGGAGUGGGCGGAGGAGUGGAAACACCUCAACAACCUGCUGAACUGCAUCAUGGACAUGGUGGAGAAGACGCGGCGGUCGCUGACGGUGCUGCGGCGGUGCCAGGAGGCCGAUCGCGAGGAGCUCAACCACUGGAUCCGGCGCUACAGCGACGCUGAGGACAUGAAGAAAGGCAGCCCCCCCUCGGCACGCCCCCACAACUCCUCCUCGGCCGCCGCCGAGGCUCCCCAGUUAGACGCUCACCGGGACUUCGCGCCGCGGCCGCUCUCCGGGUACAUGCCCGAGGAGAUCUGGAGGAAGGCUGAAGAAGCCGUGAACGAGGUGAAGCGGCAGGCCAUGUCCGAGCUGCAGAAGGCCGUGUCGGACGCCGAGCGGAAGGCGCACGAGCUGAUCACCACGGAGCGCGCCAAGAUGGAGCGGGCCCUGGCCGAGGCCAAGCGCCAGGCGUCCGAGGAUGCCCUCACCGUCAUCAAUCAGCAGGAGGACUCGAGCGAGAGCUGCUGGAACUGCGGGCGCAAGGCGAGCGAGACGUGCAGCGGCUGCAACACCGCGCGCUACUGCGGCUCCUUCUGCCAGCACAAGGAUUGGGAGAAGCACCACCACGUCUGCGGGCAGACUCUGCAGGGGCUGCCGGGCCCCACUGCCCCCGGGCCGGGCCAGCCCGACGGGGUGCCCGCCGUGGCCAGCAGCCCCAGCGAGGCGGGCUCGGUGGCUGCGUCCCGCGCCGGCACCCCGGCCACGCCGGCGCCGCUGGACAGCGCGUCCCGCUGAGCCGCCCACGGACUGCACCCCGUGCAAUUUCCUCAGCUACCUGACUCGUGUGACCUCCGAAACGACCUCUCUAGCUCUCACAACUAAUCCUCACGGAUCCUCAAACUGGGCUUUAAGUGGAGUUAAGGCAAAUACCGGUCUCUGUUCUUUCUUCAGUCUUUGUUUUGGCUUUUUUCGGUUGGUUUUCUAUCGGUUGGGGGAUUGUGGUUUGGGAUUUUUUUGGGGUUUUUUGGCUGUUUUUAUUUUUCUUUUUUGCUCUUUGGAUGAGGGAUUUGGCUCCAGCAUCACCAAGCAGUGCUGUGGGGAGAGACCAGCCCGAUCCCGUCCCCCAUCAGCGCUGCCGAGGGGCUCACUUGGAGGAGGGAAGAACCUUCUUUUCUUCAUCUCUCUCUUCCUGUUUUUUUUUUUUUUUUACCUUUUUUUUUUUUUGUAAAAAAAUAAAGAAAAUAAAAAAGAAAACGUCGGACUCUUUGGCUUUAAGUAAGAAAUUGUAAAAAAGAAAAAAAAAAAAAAAAAAGGAAAAAUCCAAAAACCAGACGACGCGUGACGGACGCUCACCUGUAACUACCUUGCUAGCUAGCCAAGAACAGACCAGACUCACCUCUGCUCCAAAGGAAAUCCAAAACCAAGGAAGAUCCAAACGUCUCUCCACUGCCAAAGUUCGUUUCGUUCUGUUGUCGCUUCCUUCCCCUCCCCACAAGGAUGGAUGGACAUGCCCCUGGGGCUUUAAAGAAUUUCUAUUAAAAUAAAGGGAAAAAAAAAAAAAAAAAGGUGUUUUUUUACUAAAACCCCCACCCCCAAGGCAUGGGAGGGGGAGAUGGGGCUGAGAACCGCAGCCGGAGCCGGCACAUCUCUACCUCUGCCCGCCACCGCCCUGGAAAAGGAGAACAAAAAGGAGAUUAAAAAAAAAAAAAAGAGAAUAAUAAUAAAAAAAGAAUUAAAAAAAAAGGAAACUAAAAGAUGGAUUUUGGGUUUCUCCCUCCCCGAAGCCGUCGGGGGACUCCCCAUCCCUUCACUGCCAGGCUGCUCCCACACCCCGCGCUGGAUUUGUUUCAUAAGGAUUUUUAAGAGGAAAAGGAAAGGAAAAGGAAAGGAAAAGGGACGCUGCCGCCUCCCUGGCCAAGGACAAUGUGGAUUAUUUGGGAUUCUUGCCUCGCUGGAGCGGCACGGAGGAGGAAGUGCAAUAUGGGAAGUGCGAGCUCCGAGCGAGGCGGCGGGGCCGUGCGCUGCGUGAAUGUAAAUAGUGUCUGCAGAGGCCCAAGAAGGAAUCAGCACCACCACCACCACAGCGUAGUGAUAAUGAUAAGAGACGUUUGCCAAAUAAAGGACGAGGAGGAAGCGUGGAGCCGUGGCGCUGGCCGGAGCGAGGCCUGGCCCCCAGAGGAGCUGGAGUUUUUCCGCAUUUGCAAAACCCAUCCUGUGUGUUUUCCCGAGGGGAGGAAGAGGAGGGAAGGGCUCGGGGCCGCGGGGGUUGUGCUGCCGGUCACAGGGCUGGGCGCUGGGGACGCGCCAGGGGUGGUGUCACUGGCCCUGUGCCACCAGCACCCAGCCCUGCUGGGGUUCUGUGCACCCAAGGCCUUGGUGCAUCCCCUGGGAUGAGUUCUGUGCACCCCAAAAUCUCGGUGCAUCACCUCGGAUGAGUUCUGUGCCCCCUAAGACCCUGGGGGGUUUCUGUGCACCCCGAGAUCUCUCUGAUUCCUCCCAGGGUUCCUCUUCUGAGGUUUCUCUGCACCCCAAGAUCUUGGGGCAUCCUCCUGGGAAGGUUCUGUGCACCCCAAGGCCUAGGUGCAUCCUCCUGGGAAGGUUCUGUGCACCCCAAGGCCUUGGUGCAUCCCCUGGGAUGAGUUCUGUGCACCCCAAAAUCUCGGUGCAUCACCUCGGAUGAGUUCUGUGCCCCCUAAGACCCUGGGGGGUUUCUGUGCGCCCCGAGAUCUCUCUGAUUCCUCCCAGGGUUCCUCUUCUGAGGUUUCUCUGCACCCCAAGAUCUUGGGGCAUCCUCCUGGGAAGGUUCUGUGCACCCCAAGGCCUUGAUGCAUCCCCUGGGAGGGCUCUGUGCACCCCAAAAUCUCAGUGCAGCACCUUGGAUGAGUUCUGUGCACCCUGAGACCCUGGGGGGUUUCUGUGCACCCCGAGAUCUCUCUGAUUCCUCCCAGGGUUCCUCUUCUGAGGUCUCGGUGCAUCACCCCCAGGAGGUUUCUCUGCACCCCAAGAUCUUGGGGCAUCCUCCUGGGAAGGCUUUGUGCACCCCAAGAUCUUGGUGCAUCCCCCCAGGGGUUUCCUGUGCACCCCAAGGUCUUGGCCCAACCCCAGGGACCUUUCUGUGCCCCCCAAGUCCUCGGUGCACCCCCUGGGUGGUUUCUGUGCCCCCUCCCCAGCCCCGGGAGCUUCUCCGGGUGCCCCUCCCGUGACUGUUCACUUUAUUUAUGGUGUGACAUAUGUAAUAUUGUCUAUUUUUCUUACGUUUCCUGAGAAGAGGUAAUAUAUAAGAGUAUCGCAGCCGCCCCCGCUCGCCCGGGUGUCCGGCCCGUCCCCGCCUGUCCCCGCCUGUCCCCGCGUGCCCCCGGCCCCGCUCCUGCCGGGGCUCUGCCUCUCUACCUCCACCUCGCCGGGAAACCGGGGGCCAGAGCCCUUCCCCAGGGACUGCUCUCCUUUCCGCUCCACUCCCUGCUGGUUUGCUCUUUUUUUCUUUUUAAUUUUUUUUAAAUUUUAAUGAAGAAUAAAACUACCCCGCAGAACCUUGCAUUGAAACCAAAAGCAGAGGGAGGGGAGGGAGGGGACGGCGGUGACGGGCGGCCGAACCACAACGACAGCUUUAAAUGUCAGAUUUCCCAAAAAUAAAAUAAAAACUGUGCUGCGGGGAGGACGGAGCGGCCGCGGGGCUGCGGCGAUGCUCUGGGUGCUUCCCCGGGGGUUUGCCCCGCAACGGUGGCGCUGGGGGCCAGGGGACGUGUGCCACCCCUUUGGUGGCACCUCGGAGGUGGCAGCGGAUGAGCAGCGUGGUGCUGGCACAGCCUGGCCGGGGGGGCUGGGGGCAGCCUGGGGACACGGGGUGCCACAUCGGGUCCCCGCGGCUGCUCGCAGCUCCCGGCUUUCCCGCUCCCGCCGCGGCUGGGGCAGGGGGACGGUGUUGGGGACACGGGGACAGCGCGCCCCAGGUGCCCGUGCCCGUGGGGAGGCAGAGCCCGGGGCGCUGGGGUGGCACCGAGCUGGGCAGGUGGCAGGAUGGACGUGGCUCUCGGGUGCCACCCACGGCACCGGGGUCCCCUCUCCAGCCCCUUCCUCUCGUUCCCAACCCCAAAUCCCAGCUGAAACCAAAGUGCCACGUCCCGGCGAGGCUGGAGCAGGGGUCCCACACCUGCCUGGCUUCUGCUGCAUCACUGCCAGAGCCCCCCGAGCUCCCCCUGAAGCAUCAUCUCCUCCUCCUCCUCCUCCUCCUCCUCCUCCUCCUCCUCCUCCGGGGGCUGCUGGGGUCGCCCUCUGCAUCCCAGUGGGUCUGAGCUGGGGACAAGGUGCCGCUGUGUUCCCAGGCCACGGGCACUGUGAUGGGGUGUCCCCCCUGCGGUGGCAGCCCCGGGAUGUCACCGAACGCCCCGGCAGGGCGGUGGUGCCAGUGUCCCCAGUCCGUGCCGGCUGCCCGCUCCCCCGAUCCCGUGCGGGGCUGAGCCCUGCCCUGGCUGCCCCGCCAGCUCCGGGAUGGGGACACCGGGGCACGGGGUGGGGGGGCUGGAAAGCAGAGCCCCCCGCCAGGGCCAGGUGGGGCGUGGGGCCAGCCCAGAGAGAUGACACGGUAGGACUUUCCUUCGGCAUGCUGUCCCCCCUCUUGCUGUUCCCCGCUUUCUCUAAGUGUACUGUAUGUUUGACCUGUGAAAGAUGUAAACUUUAUGAUUCAGGUUAUGUCUGUUCUUAACUCUGUAUCUGUGUAAUAAAGACAAUUUAAUAUCAACCA